rnacentral:tRNA from 1 species
GGAGCAUUAGCUCAGUUGGUAGAGCACUUGACUUUUAAUCAAGUUGUC